ACAUUUAGCUGUAUUUAAAACAUUAAAGUUUAAUCCUAUAAUUAAUUUAAAAACAACCAGGCAGCUAAUAUGCACACUUCAAUACAUGUUUAUUUAUUGCAAGUCAUAUGUCAUCUCAAUAUAUAACAAUGUUAUCGCACAUUGAGUAUUUUUCUCAUAGCGUUUUGGGUCUUGUCUUACAAAAUAACUGUUACCAAAUAAGAGUAAAGUAUCGAUAGUGAGAUCGAUAAAGACUCUGAUCGUUAAGCAGUCUCAUUAAGGGUAUCAAUAUCAAUAAAAGUUAACGAUCCCCAUCCCUAGUUAUUAUUUCCUACCAUUCUUUGAUAAAUGUCGGUCUCAUCUUUUGAAUCACAGCCGAGGUUUCAAGACUGUUUGGCCCAUACGCACGUGGAGGGAGAAGGUUGACAAUUCGGUGAUCCACUGCUGCACCCGUACAGCUUCCCUCAUACACCCAUUUAUUCUGUUGUCUUGACGAUAAAAACGUGGAGUUAGUCCCCAAUCGAUGUGUUAAACAGAGGCUCGCUGCUGCAGGGUUAGGGGAGAAACGUCUUCCAUUUCAAGGUAUUCAGACAAAUCCAGAGGAGUUCAGAGAAUUCCUUUAGUGGCAUAUCCUAAGCUCAGACAGGGGGGUGGAUUUGAACUGCUAAAAAUAUCUGGAACAACUCGGAGUCGUGAACUGGUCCUCAUCCCCUGUCCCAAUGAUGGCUCCCAUGUCCGAUAUCUAAAGGAACCACAAACUCAGAUUGGUCAUGCUACAAUUUUUAUCCGACCACUUCAGAGGAAUCUGAAUCUGGAUCCUAUAUGUGGACCAGAAUGCAGCAGUGAGCUGGUUGGGCCAGUCCAGAAAUGUGUGACUUGUGGAGAAGAAUUCUCUUUUUCAAGUAUUGAGGCUCAUAGUGAUGAAUGCAUGAGAUUGGGAAAUUGAGCCAGAUCCUGCAAAGGCAGCAAAGAUGUUCAAAGACAACAUUUUGAAUCUGC